rnacentral:rRNA from 1 species
AUUGAACGCUGGCGGCAGGCUUAACACAUGCAAGUCGAGCGGGGGAAGGUAGCUUGCUACUGGACCUAGCGGCGGACGGGGGAGUAAUGCUUAGGAAUCUGCCUAUUAGUGGGGGACAACAUCUCGAAAGGGAUGCUAAUACCGCAUACGUCCUACGGGAGAAAGCAGGGGAUCUUCGGACCUUGCGCUAAUAGAUGAGCCUAAGUCGGAUUAGCUAGUUGGUGGGGUAAAGGCCUACCAAGGCGACGAUCUGUAGCGGGUCUGAGAGGAUGAUCCGCCACACUGGGACUGAGACACGGCCCAGACUCCUACGGGAGGCAGCAGUGGGGAAUAUUGGACAAUGGGGGGAACCCUGAUCCAGCCAUGCCGUGUGUGUGAAGAAGGCCUUAUGGUUGUAAAGCACUUUAAGCGAGGAGGAGGCUACUCUAGUUAAUACCUAGGGAUAGUGGACGUUACUCGCAGAAUAAGCACCGGCUAACUCUGUGCCAGCCGCCGCCGUAA